ACUCUGAGAAACAUGAUUUUACUAAACUGCGUUUUAUUGAUGAUUAUUUCUUAUUCUUAUGGACAGUCUCUGAGCUCCUCUGCUUCUGUGGUGAAGAAGCCUGGAGAGUCGGUCAGUCUGUCCUGUACUGUAUCUGGAUUCUCCAUGAGCAGCUACUAUAUGGCCUGGAUUCGUCAGAAACCAGGAGAAGGACUGGAGUGGAUCGGAUACAUUGAUACUGGCACCAGCACUUACUUUGCCCAGUCUCUGCAGGGCCAGUUCUCCAUCACUAAAGACACCAAUCAGAACAAGCUGUACCUGGAAAUAAAAAGUCUCAAACCUGAAGACAUGGCAGUUUAUUACUGUGCCCGAGGAGCACACUGGUACAACAGACUACAGACACAUACAAAAACCUCCACAAGCGAGUGA